GCUUCCUUGGCUCAGUUGGCUAGAGCGCAGGUCUCAUAGCGAGUCUAUGACAAUCGUAUUACGAUUGUAAUCCUGAGGUCGCAAGUUCGAGCCUUGCAGGGAGCA